CUAUGCGCCUUGCCAGCCCGCUCAGGUGUGCCAGCCGCCGCGGUAAUACGUAGGUGGCAAGCGUUAUCCGGAUUUACUGGGUGUAAAGGGUGCGUAGGCGGCAAUGCAAGUCAGAUGUGAAAUCUAUGGGCUCAACCCAUAAACUGCAUUUGAAACUGCGUUGCUUGAGUGAAGUAGAGGCAGGCGGAAUUCCCCGUGUAGCGGUGAAAUGCGUAGAGAUGGGGAGGAACACCAGUGGCGAAGGCGGCCUGCUGGGCUUUAACUGACGCUGAGGCACGAAAGCGUGGGUGGCAAACAGG
rnacentral:rRNA from 1 species